AAAUCCGGAGCCUUAGCGAAAGCGAGUCUUAAUAGGGCGUACAAGUCACUUCUUAUGGACCCGAACCCGGGUGAUCUAAUCAUGGCCAGGUUGAAGCUUAGGUAACACUACGUGGAGGACCGAACCCACCGAUGUUGAAAAAUCGGGGGAUGAGCUGUGAUUAGCGGAGAAAUUCCAAUCGAACUCGGAGCUAGCUGGAUCUCCCCGAAAUGCGUUGAGGCGCAGCGGUGACUAUGAGCUAUCUAGAGGUAAAGCUACUGUUUCGAUGCGGGCUGCGAAAGCGGUACCAAAUCGUGGCAAACUCAGAAUACUAGAUAUUGCCUUCAGUCAACCAGUGAGAUUAGUUGGGAUAAGCUAAUUAAUCAAGAGGGAAACAGCCCAGAUCACCAGCUAAGGCCCCUAAAUGAUAACUAAGUGGAGAAGGAUGUGAUAUUGCUGAAACAACCAGGAAAUUUGCUUAGAAGCAGCAAUUUUUGAAAGAGUGCGUAAUAGCUCACUGGUAAAGCGAUGUUGCGCCGAAAAUGGCCGGGACUAAGUUAUCUGCCGAAGCUGUGAUAUUUGUAUAUCUACAAAUAGGUAGGGGAGCGUUCUGUUCUCGGGUGAAGCUUUCACGUAAGUGUGGGUGGACGAAACAGAAGUGAGAAUGUUGGCUUGAGUAACGAAAACAUUGGUGAGAAUCCAAUGCCCCGAAAACCUAAGGGUUCCUCCACUAGGCUCGUCCAUGGGGGGUUAGUCAGGUCCUAAGGCUAGUUAAAUUUAUUUAAGUCGUCGAUGGCAAACAGGUUAAUAUUCCUGUACUGAUUUUAUUGGGAACCGAGGGACGGAGAAGACUAAGCUGAAACUGCUACUGGAUUUCAGUGGAAGCAUUUAGGUGUUGAGAGCUAGAACAAAAACUAUGCUUGAGCUAAGAUGUGAUCCCUCUAUCAUCCAUUGGAUGAUGGAGUCAGUGAUGUCAUACUUCCAAGAAAAGCUCGAACACCAUUAACAAUAAAAUCACCUGUACCUGAAACCGACACAGGUAGGUUGGUAGAGUAUACCAAGGGGCGCGAGAUAACUCUCUCUAAGGAACUCGGCAAACUGGCCCCGUAACUUCGGAAGAAGGGGCGCCCUCUUUAUUGUCAUAAAUAAUAGAGGGUCGCAGUGACCAGGCUCUGGGAACUGUUUAUCAAAAACACAGGUUUCCGCAAAGUCGUAAGACAAUAUAUGGGAGCUGACGCCUGCCCAGUGCCGGAAGGUUAAGGAAGUUGGUUAUUAAGUAAUUAAGAAGCUGACGACCGAAGCCCCGGUGAACGGCGGCCGUAACUAUAACGGUCCUAAGGUAGCAAAUUUCCUUGUCGUGAGUAACGACCUGCAUGAAACAUGGAACGAUUCGAUAGCUGUCUUGCGCACACAUCAUGGUGAAAUAUUCAUCAGUACGAAUGAUAUGCUGACUAAAGUUUAUUAACACUAAAGGACAAAAAGACCCUUUGAAGCUUUAU
rnacentral:rRNA from 1 species